rnacentral:lncRNA from 1 species
CCUGAAUGCUUUUUUCACCCAAAUUAAAUAAUGUUUAUUUCGCUUAGAGUUCAGACAGUGCUGGGGGGUUCUUGUGCCUGGAGACCUUGGCUGUGAAUCUUGUGGGAGAGAGUAGGAUGUAUUGGUCACAAACCUCAUGCACCUUCUUGGACUCCCUAGAGUCACCUCCUUUCUCUCUCUUGGUUUGCACCUCACCUAUGCCAAGUAGCCCCUCCAAUUCCACAUGAUGGUAGAAAUGCCACAUGGCAAGCCACUGGAUCUGAUUUCCCAAGCAGCUACUCAGGAGGCAAAUGAUACAACUCAGAAGUGCAGUGGAGUUAGCUCUCUGUGGGGUGCACCUUGGCCAAAGGAAAACAUGAGAUGAGAAGGGGACAGAUAUAUAAAUUCCCUCUCAAUUCUCCUCUUGGUGAACUGCUCCAAGGUGCGGUUUCUUCCGGCAAACACCAUAUGCUUAGCAAACCACCUUGUCAGGUGAGCUGCUGUCUCCUCAUGGCUCAUGUGAAGCAGGGGCCAACACAGUAAUCCAUUGUCUUACAUUCCUUCACAUCUUUCCUUGCCUCACGUCUCCUCUCCCCUCUCACCAUCCUGAGUUCUAUCUCCCACAACAGUGUAAGCACUUUAAUCCUUGCCUUACAGUCUGCUUUCUAGAGUACUUGGGUUAAGAUAUGGAGCCACAAUCAAAGCCCCCAUCUGAACACUGAGUGCCAACAGUGGGGCAGCAAGAAAGUCCUGAGGACACAACGGAUUUUUCCUGCUGAAAUACAGCGAAUCUAGCCCAGAAUGCUGGCUUCCUGUAGGGGGUGCAGUGCCAAGGUCACUAUGUCAGGCUGUUUCUGUCCAAUUGUCAAAGAGAAGCUGAGGCUCAUUCACAGGCUCUCUUCGUGGGUCCGUGCAUUUUCUCCUGGGCACCUAAGAUUGCCCUUGGGAAAAGGCAGCCCCAGGCUUGCCGCCUACUCUGCCUUCUGGGUCUCUGUACUCUUAGGCAACUGGAGGGCAGGAGGCCAGAGCCUAGAAGUUCAAAGUCCCCUCUACAGAUGGCCAAUCAAAGGCUCUUGAUAGAGGGUAGAGAACACUUUGAUAGCAAUGUCUGAAAUCAGGGCUGGGGAAAAAAAGAGUGGCUUUCUGCCCUCUCUGAGUCUGCGCUUGGCACAGACUUGGUCGCCUCUUUGUGGACCCCAUGUUGCUCAGGCUGGAAGGGCAGCUGCUUGGCCUGCAUUGGUUCUGAGCUCCCUGAGCCCAGGAGGUUUCUUCCUUCAUUGGCUCUCCCAAAGAAGACAGGGCUGUGUAACACAAUCGUGCAGAUAUACUGGCCAUCAGGGGAGGCCUAGAGGCCAAAAAUAGCCUCUGAGGCCCUGCUGGGUUUGGCUGUGUCACGAUGUAGGGAAGUGCAGUCAGGACAGUGGAUGCCCAAAGAUUACAACCAAAGCUGGAAAAAGUUCAAGAGAGGUUCUGUGAUCUCCAUGUCCUUAGCACCCUCUUUUGGAGGGUAUUGCAUGCCUGUUCUGUUCCACUGAGGCAGAAGCGAGACUCCAGAUCUGGUCAGAGCACAUAGUGGAUCCAGAGCUGCUUCCAGGGUUAGAGGUCAUUAGUCUUAUAUCAGAUCAAAGGUCUCUUCUCCCUGCAUCCAAAACACCCAGGUUGCAUCCAGAGAAAGAAAGAGAUUCUGGGGGCCCUGCUGAAGGCUGAAGACUCUGCCCACAGUCCCCAAGUUAUACAAAUUCUCAGAGGGCCCACAAAUUCAGUGUCCACUGACAGACUCCCCUCAGGAGUACUUUGGUGAUGUGGUCUCAGUGUAAUCAUGGACCAUGGCCAGAGGGUGAGGAGUAGAGCAAGCUGCAGGCUGGCCAGAAUGAGUGGCUGGGUGAUUGCCUCCCUCCUCUCCUAAGCAUCUCCUUGGGGCUGAAGCCUAGGAGUCAGUCCUACUCAGGGAUUUUGACUAUCUGGUCAGGGCCACUGGAGCAUGCGCCAGCCGAGUGUUGAAGAAGUAAUCUCUCUCUGCGGGCAUGGGACAGAUUAAGCUUGACUUAUCACCACAGACGGGCCAUUAUGGAAGCCAUGAAGCUGAUGGGGAGGGGAAUGGACAAAGUGUGACCUGUAGCUAAGAGACGAAAACCACAAGGACCAGGUCCAGACUCAAGGACAAGGACUCAGCAAGAUUCUUGAUGAUGGUUACUAGCUCACAGAGAUCCCGGGAAUCAAACCAAUCAGUUUGAAAGGAAUCAUAUCGAGAGAAAAUCUUCACACCUGGCAAACAGGGAUCUGGGAAUGCGUAAUCUCUAAGGCAAACUUUAGGCCCAAAACCAUGUCCAAAGGGAAGAGGGGUGCUUCAAUUCCAGAAGGGGCAUCCUCUCAGGGAUGUCCAUAAAGGACAAUGGAUAAAGGAGAUAUUUUCCAGUGGAAAGGACCAAGGGCAACCAGUUUUGUUGACAAGGAAACUUACUCCACUGUGUGGAAGGAUGUGCUUUAUGCCAUAGAUUAGUGACCACUGUUUUCUCUUCUCCUCUAUUCCAAAUGGAAGGCGUUUUUUUCCUUUUAAAAAAUGGUUAUUCUAUUACUCUCCACUAUUUCAUAUUGGUUAUGUAAGGGCAGCUAAAUUUACCUUUUUAGCUGUAGAUUGCAAAAUCUUAAGAAGUUAUAUCCAGACCUGAUCAAGAAUUGCACAUCACAAAGAGACCCUGGACUGAGGGCUCGAUAAAGCAACUGGACACGAUUCUGGUUUGUCUUCCAUUGGGAAGUGGGUGUUUUUUUGUUGGCCCUAAGAUCAUUGCAUUGUUAGGCAGGCACAUUUUUGAAAUUGUGUUUGUCAAGAAAAGUAUAGGUGGAUGCUGAGCAAUAAAGGGGUGGAAUGUAGUGGAUGCCUAUUGCUUAUCUGCCCACCAUCCUUUCCUUUGGGGACCCAUUUCUCCCCUCUGCACAGUCCUGGUUAUGUUGUCAACUAUGGUGGCCUACUCUUCCACCCUAGAGGUGGCACAUGUCCAUUCUGGCCAAGGUCCUCCCUAGGACUUUAGAGAUAGAACUAGUGAGGCCAAUAUACAGCGGGAAGCAGAGCCAAGAGAUGGAGAUAUUAUCAUUUGGACCCUUAGAUCCAGCCGUGCCUGAAGGCAGAUACAUCUUUUGAUUUAUCAAUUAUGUAAGCCAAUUAAUUUCUUAUUGACUUAAACAUGUUUGAGUUGGGUUUUUGACACCUGCAACUGAAAGGGUUCAGACUAAUACAUGCACACACAACAGAGACACAAACACCAUGUUGUUCAAACUCAUUGACAUUAUACAAGUCUUCCAGGAUCUUAUAGGGGUCGGUAAACUUUUUGUUUAAAGGACCAGAUAAAUAUUUUAGGCUUCGUGGGACACAUAUGGUCUCUGUCUCAUAUUCUUUUUUGUUUUGUUUUAUUUUUACAACCCUUUAAAAAUGUAAAAACCAUUCUUAAUUUGUAGGCCAUACAAAAAAAAGGCUGCAGGUAAGAUUUGCCCACAGGCCGUAGUUUGCCAACCCCUAAUCUAGACCCUGCCAACUCCUUACACAUUGGCACACAGUCUGCCAGUGCCUAAUCAUGAAACAAACUACUUUAAAUGCCAUUUUGGUUCAAGGGUCUUGACGUGACUUGACAAUGAGUUAAAGUUUCAGGUAGAGUUAGGGAUCGGAAAAGGGUCUUGUCUUGUGCCCAUUGUCUACCACAUAACAGGCACUGAAUAAUUGGUAUCAUUAUUAUUUCUUGGUAAUAAAGAUAAUUUAUCAAAAUGAUGCAGCUAUCCAAACGGCUUUGUCCAAAGGUCCCAGUUCAUCCUCGAUGACCCUUCCCCUCCUUAAUUUCCUUCAGGAAAUCUUUCUCUGACCUCCCCUACCAAUCAAGUCUGAAUUAGGUAGUCUUCUUGCUAUCACAGACCCUGUGUGGCCCUCCAUUAUAACUGCAUUCCCCCCUAACUGUCUUCCCCCCUAACUCUGACUACUUAGAACAUGCCUGAGCCCCAGCUCCUAGCAAGGGCUUAGCAACUAGUACCUAGCACCUCCAUGUGAAUAUAUGUUUGAAUGUGCAGGUGCUACAUAUCUUCAUCUGUGUCCAGGGUAAUCAGUCUAUGUGUCAGCAUUGUGCUCGUGUACAGAUGCCCUUAGUGCUGGUUCCUCUCUCAGUUGGAAAUUAUUUGUUGGUAUAUACCACACCUUGCCUGGUAAUGUCAUUAUUGUAUCUAUUUUUCAUUCCCAUUCCCUCCAAAAAUGAGUCAAAGACAGAGGAAUAAGUGGGAACAAGUUUUCUUAGAAACUGUUAUGAAGGAGGAACCCUCCACCCCCACCCCCACAUCCUUUACCGUCUGAUGUGAUACCAGAUGAGAGGCUUCCAGCCUCAGCAAUAUCUGGGGAUCAGAGUGCCCAUCACACAGCUGGGGCCCCAGACUAGUCUGAUCCAUGUCUAUGGCGUGGAGGGGAAAUUAUCCUCCUGGGAAAAACAUGUGCAAGCCCUGCAGGCCCAGGAAAGGCUGACCAAGGCAAAGAGAGUCGUGGUGUUCUAAGCUGAAUCUUUUGCCCAUCUCACAGAAGCAGGCAGGAAGCACCACCAUUGAUCAGCUUUAUAUGGCACCCACUGUAUACAACAGACAGACAAAGACAGACAGACAGAGCACACACCACUUCUAAGCUGAACACUGCUCACCAUCUAGAAGCACCUUGGAUAAGCACAUGUGAGACACUCUUGCAUAGGAAAGAUGUACUUUUUAAAGGAAUGAAGAAGUAUUUUGGCAAAACAUCUACUUCCCUCCCAGGUCCUGGGUAAAGAGGGACCUCUAAAUUCUGAAGCUUCUACAUAUUGAACAUUACCCCCUUCUCAAUGGCAGUAUAUACAGUAGCAAACCUUCCUAGUCUGUUGUCACAGCCCUCUACAUAUAUCCUGAAUCUACUUUACAGGUGGGCAAACUUAGACUUAGAGACAGAAGGUGGCCUGGAGCAAGGGGACACAGGGUCUGGCUCAAGGAGAGGGGAAACAGGAGGUGUCUCGGCUCAGCCAAGGGCAGGGCCUCUGUCUAUCUGGAUGGGGAAGGGAAAGGCUGGGGUGGCCAAAUCUCCCUUUCUUCCUGCCUGGGGAAGCGGUGGUUCCACAGGAAAGGCUGUCAAGAAGGAAAGGCAGGUUCCCACUCCUGCUGGCUAGGAGGACUCUCAGGGUGGUAGAGGCCAGAGCAGGCCAGAGCGCCUCCUGGGUCCUCUUCAGGGAUGCUGUCUGAGUUUGAGGAUUGUGGGUUCACUGCUUCAUAACUCUCUUAUUACCUGUAUAUGAGUCUAGACCUCAAGUCCUUAAUUAUUUUAAAAAGGUGAGGGUUGGGGGAAGUUUAAGAGGGAAUGAAACACAGAACAAUCUUUCCACAGCCUCGCUCUGCCCAGGCUGGGGCUUUCAAGGGUCUCCCUCACCCUGGCUCCUAGGGAUAUUUAAAGGCAGCUUUUAUGAGACUCUAUACUGUCUUUUUUGUUUCUCUUGUGGUUUUUUUUGUUUGUUUCUUUGUUUUAAUUUAUAUAGAUAUAUAUAUUCUUAAAAAAGCAAUAGUCCUUUGGUCCCUAAACUCUAAGGAAUGAUAUGAUUUUCAAAGAAGCAAAUCUGGGCCUCCCUUGUGGAGAAGCCCUUGGCACCCCCAAGGCCCUCUGCUGGUUCCCUAGACAGUCAAUCCUCAGCCAGCCCCAGUUGUCUUGCCAGCCUGAGCUCUAUGCCACAGGCACAAAACAACCCACUCAGAUGAAAACAAUCCUUCAAGUGGCCUGAGCCCCAGGUGCCGGCCUUGGAUCUGAUCCACCUCCGUCUGUGGCUGCUCCUUCAUGAAGGGCUGCUCAAGCGUUUCUGUGCUUUUCCUUUCCUUUCUUCUCACUCCCCAGUUUCU